rnacentral:rRNA from 1 species
CUGGCGGCGCACAUAAGACAUGCAAGUCGAACGGAAGUCGUUAUAGCUGAAGCAGAAAUGGACUUUUGAACUUGUUUAAAAGAAAGUUGAAGUCGAAAUUAUAACAAUGGCUUUAGUGGCGGACUGGUGAGUAACGCGUGAGCAACCUGCCUAUUAGAGGGGAAUAACAGUGAGAAAUCAUUGCUAAUACCGCAUAUGCCAUAGUAAUCACAUGAUUACAGUGGGAAAGGAGUAAUCCGCUAAUAGAUGGGCUCGCGUCUGAUUAGAUAGUUGGUGGGGUAACGGCCUACCAAGUCAACGAUCAGUAGCCGAACUGAGAGGUUGAACGGCCACAUUGGGACUGAGAUACGGCCCAGACUCCUACGGGAGGCAGCAGUCGGGAAUAUUGCGCAAUGGAGGAAACUCCUGACGCAGUGACGCCGCGUAUAGGAUGAAGGUCUUCGGAUUGUAAACUAUUGUCGUUAGGGAAGAAAAAGGACAGUACCUAAGGAGGAAGCUCCGGCUAACUACGUGCCAGCCGCCGC